GGGAGUGUGGUGGAACGGCAGACACAAGGGAUUUAAAAUCCCUCGAGCGAAGGCUCAUACGGGUUCGAGUCCCGUCACUCCCACCA
rnacentral:tRNA from 1 species